UGAGCACCUUGACAUUUCACCUGAAAUCUUCCUUUCCACAGGUCCUGAGGCACGUGAAUGGCCAGGAUCAGAUUGUGCCCGGCCUGUACGCCUGUGGGGAGGCCGCCUGUGCCUCGGUACAUGGUGCCAAUCGGCUCGGGGCAAACUCGCUCUUGGACUUGGUUGUCUUUGGUCAGGCAUGUGCCCUGAGCAUCGAAGAGUCAUGCAGGCCUGGAGAUAAAGUCCCUCCAAUUAAACCAAACGCUGGGGAAGAAUCUGUCAUGAAUCUUGACAAAUUGAGAUUUGCUGAUGGAAGCAUAAGAACAUGAGAACUGCGACUCAGCA
rnacentral:lncRNA from 1 species